rnacentral:rRNA from 1 species
UUAGAGUUUGAUCAUGGCUCAGGAUGAACGCUAGCGGGAGGCUUAACACAUGCAAGUCGAGCGGUAUUGACCUUCUGGUCGAGAGAGCGGCGCAAGGGGGCCUAACGCGAAUGCCACCUGCCUUAUGCACGGGGAUAGCCCGGGGAAACCCGGAUUAAUACCCCAUAGAUCAGUAGUAUCGCAUGGUACAAUUGGUAAAGAUUUAUCGGCAUAAGAUGGGCAUGCGUCUGAUGCCUAGUUGGUAGGGUAACGUCCUACCCGGCGACCAUCGCCACGGGUUCUGAGAGGAUUAUCCCCCACACUGGUACUGAUACACGGACCAAACUCCUACGGGAGGCACGGUGAGGAAUAUUGGUCAAUAUUGGCAAGCCUGAACCACUCAUCCCGCGUGAAGGAUGAAUGCCUUAUGGGUUGUAAACUUCUUUUGUACCUGUUUAAACUCUGGGUCGUGACCUGACACUGCCUCCUUUGUAUGAACCUUCAUCGGCUAACUCCGUGCCCUCCGCCGCGGCAAUACGCGAGGAUGCAAGCGUUAUCCGGAUUUAUUGGGAUUUAAAGGGGUGCGCAGGUGGUUGAAUAAGUCAUGUGGUGAAAGUCUGCCGCUUAACGGUAGGAUUGCCAUUGAUACUGUUUGACUUGACUUUCUUGAGGUAGGCGAAAUGUGUAGUGUUUGUGUGAAAUGCAUGAUAUUACACAUAACACCGAUUGCUCCGAUUGCUUACUAAUCUACAACAGACACUGACUGCACGAAAUGUGGGGAUCAAACAGGAUUAGAUACCCUGGUAGUCCACGCUGUACACGAUGAUCACUCGCUGUUACUAGAUAUACAGUAAGCGGCUGUAGCGCAACUCGAUAAAUGAUCUACCUGAGUCAGUACUGAUCGAGUACGUUUGCACACUCAAUAGGAAUUCGACGGGAGUCCAGCGCGAGCCCGAAGCAACCUGUAGGUAUUCAUGUCGAUUGUAUACUCGAUGAUACCUCUACGUAGCCCUUAACACUGGGGUAUGUAAACAGCCUGCGCGAACAGUUGGAUUAUGUCUUUCGCAUCUCUUCUUUCAAGUCGCUCGCAUUGAUUGUCUGUCCAUGCUCGUGCCCUGACUCUGUCCCGGUUAAGGUCCGUACUAUCAGUGCCAUACCGUAACUGCUAACCUCUGCCCACCUGUUAUGCACGAUCUCUGUCAUCAGGACUGUCACUGGUAACCUGUUCCAUACCGGUAUCAU